rnacentral:pre_miRNA from 1 species
AAUUGGCAACUUGGCAAGAUGUUGGCAUAGCUGAAAGUUUUGAGUUUAGCUAUUCAACUUCUUGUCUAUUUUUCCAAUUUAUUGACA